rnacentral:rRNA from 1 species
AUGGCGGAUGCACCUUUGUACAAGCAGCGCUGCGUGUAUACCAGAGAGCUCCACAAUGUCGACCUUCACGGCAACUACAAGCUCCACGUCGUUUGCACAAGCAAGGGUGAAGACGUGGACAAGAUGAUGUCCAUGCUCAGGAGGAAGCUCGGUGGAAUGCCCGUCAAACUAGUUGGCAUUGAUGUCGAGUACACGCCAAUGGAAAUAGACAAAUUCCUCAUGAAUGCUGAGUACACCUUCGUUGGAUUCGCCAUUGAAGGAGACAAAAGCAAGCGACUAUCUGGUUUGGAGAUCAACUCCAACAACUACAUUGAUAUUCAGGUGGAAUGGAGAGACCCAUACAAUAAAAGGAAGUUUGAAUCUUUGGCUGAUGUUGCCGGCAGGAUGAUAGACAUUCAAUACCAUGACAUGAAGAAAAAAUUUAACCGCAAGGAGGACCAUACUCUGCGGGGAUUUUUCUCGCUGCCAGAAAAGCUUAUCAAGUAUGCAGCAAUAGAUACAUUCGCAACAUAUGAGUCAUGGAGAAUCAUCUACGAUGUCAUAAUGGGACUGGACAGGGCAAAAAGGGACAAAGAAGCAAAGAAGAAGAAGAACAAGGUUGUAAUCCAAUACAUCAACUAG